UACGUAGGUGGCAAGCGUUAUCCGGAUUUAUUGGGCGUAAAGGGAACGCAGGCGGUCUUUUAAGUCUGAUGUGAAAGCCUUCGGCUUAACCGAAGUAGUGCAUUGGAAACUGGGAGACUUGAGUACAGAAGAGGAGAGUGGAACUCCAUGUGUAGCGGUGAUAUGCGUAGAUAUAUGGAAGAACACCAGUGGCGAAAGCGGCUCUCUGGUCUGUAACUGACGCUGAGGUUCGAAAGUGCGGGCAUCGAACAGG
rnacentral:rRNA from 1 species